rnacentral:rRNA from 1 species
CGGACGGGUGAGUAACGCGUGAGAAUCUGGCUUCAGGUCUGGGACAACCACUGGAAACGGUGGCUAAUACCGGAUGUGCCGAGAGGUGAAAGGUUAACUGCCUGAAGAUGAGCUCGCGUCUGAUUAGCUAGUUGGUAGAGUAAGAGCCUACCAAGGCGACGAUCAGUAGCUGGUCUGAGAGGACGAUCAGCCACACUGGGACUGAGACACGGCCCAGACUCCUACGGGAGGCAGCAGUGGGGAAUUUUCCGCAAUGGGCGAAAGCCUGACGGAGCAAUACCGCGUGAGGGAGGAAGGCUCUUGGGUCGUAAACCUCUUUUCUCAGGGAAGAACACAAUGACGGUACCUGAGGAAUAAGCAUCGGCUAACUCCGUGCCAGCAGCCGCGGUAAUACGGAGGAUGCAAGCGUUAUCCGGAAUGAUUGGGCGUAAAGCGUCCGCAGGUGGCAAUGUAAGUCUGCUGUUAAAGAGUCUAGCUCAACUAGAUAAGAGCAGUGGAAACUACAUAGCUAGAGUACGUUCGGGGCAGAGGGAAUUCCUGGUGUAGCGGUGAAAUGCGUAGAGAUCAGGAAGAACACCAGUGGCGAAGGCGCUCUGCUAGGCCGUAACUGACACUGAGGGACGAAAGCUAGGGGAGCGAAUGGGAUUAGAUACCCCAGUAGUC